rnacentral:lncRNA from 1 species
GGCGGACAGGGGAAGGAGCGAAGAUGGCGGAGUGAGGCGUGCCCCGGGCAGCUGGCCUGCGGGCCCGGGGCAGGCCUCCCGUGAGAAGCGGAGUACUUGUGCUGGACCGUGUGAGGUGAGCUGAGAAGUCCGUCUGUCUAUCGGGAGACGAGCAGCCGGUGGGGCGGCACAACUCGGGACGGGGUAGCGGCGAGCCUAAUGAGGGAGCCGGCGAGGCCUGGGCCUGACAGGGCUUUGCAUUCGCAGCCGCGUCCGGUCGGCUCCGCCGCCUCCGGGAACCAUAUCACACAAGAUGAAUAUUUUCCUGACCUUAGGUGCUUUUAUAUUCAGCUCAACAUUCUGAACUCAGGACUUGGCACGUAAGUAGAUAGAGAUAAUCAUCCCAAGUCCUGUUGUAGCGGCUUGAAAGGCUCCAUAGAAGCGACAUACUAAACUGUUAAGAGCAACAGAAGAUGAAGAUAAAAAUGAGUACAAGCCAGCUACCAUGGCUCACCUUUAUGCCCAGCUCUUGGGACCUGGGGAACUGAGGUGAGGAUUGAGAGUUUGAAGCUAAUCUGGGCUAUUCUGGGUAGCAAGACAUUUGUGUUAAUAAAUAAAACCCACAAGACCUAGUUAUUGAGAAUUAUUAUCUAUAUGUGCACAUGUGUAUACACACACACACCUGGCUUCUAUUUUGUUUUUUAACCAAAGCAGUUACAGUGUGUCAGAUGAUAAAUCACUCAACCAAUAACUUUCACUGUGUACAGAAAACAUGCAGAUUUAAUUAAAUUGAAUAUAAACUGAUUAAAAAAUAAAUGUUGCUAAGCAUUAA